GUGAGGAAUUUUCGGCAAUGGGGGCAACCCUGACCGAGCAACGCCGCGUGCAGGAAGAAGGUCUUCGGAUCGUAAACUGCUUUUCUCUGGGAAGAGCAAGGACGGUACCAGAGGAAUCAGCCCCGGCUAACUACGUGCCAGCAGCCGCGGUAAUACGUAGGGGGCGAGCGUUGUCCGGAGUUACUGGGCGUAAAGCGCACGCAGGCGGUCGCGCAAGUUUGGGGUUACAGCUCCCGGCUCAACUGGGAGAGCGCCUCGAAGACUGGGUGACUUGAGAGCCAGAGAGGGACACAGAAUUCCGGGUGGAGUGGUGAAAUGCGUAGAUAUCCGGAGGAAUACCAAAGGCGAAGGCAGUGUCCUGGCUGGUAUCUGACGCUCAGGUGCGAAAGCUAGGGGAGCGAACGGGAUUAGAUACCCGAGUAGUCC
rnacentral:rRNA from 1 species